UGCGGCUCCUCACGCGGCGCUAUCUGACGGAACUCCCCCAGGGCAGGAAUGCAGCAAGGGUACGUGAGCUCUAGCGGGUGCGUGAGGAGUCCUCUAA
rnacentral:SRP_RNA from 1 species